GCAUCCCAAACCCCUGUGAACAUACCUUAAUGUUGCCUCGGCGGAUCAGCCCGCGCCCCGUAAAACGGGACGGCCCGCCAGAGGACCCAAACUCUAAUGUUUCUUAUUGUAACUUCUGAGUAAAACAAACAAAUAAAUCAAAACUUUCAACAACGGAUCUCUUGGUUCUGGCAUCGAUGAAGAACGCAGCAAAAUGCGAUAAGUAAUGUGAAUUGCAGAAUUCAGUGAAUCAUCGAAUCUUUGAACGCACAUUGCGCCCGCUGGUAUUCCGGCGGGCAUGCCUGUUCGAGCGUCAUUUCAACCCUCAAGCCCUCGGGUUUGGUGUUGGGGAUCGGCUCUGCCUUCUGGCGGUGCCGCCCCCGAAAUACAUUGGCGGUCUCGCUGCAGCCUCCAUUGCGUAGUAGCUAACACCUCGCAACUGGAACGCGGCGCGGCCAUGCCGUAAAACCCCAACUUCUGAAUGUUGACCUCGGAUCAGGA
rnacentral:rRNA from 1 species